GCUACAUGAGGUAGAGAUAGACUGCUUCUACGCGCCUGCUUUGCAGGUCAAAAGAGAUGCGGGAUCCGGCGCAGGCCCGCCAUGUACA
rnacentral:ncRNA from 1 species